rnacentral:rRNA from 1 species
AUUGAACGCUGGCGGCAGGCUUAACACAUGCAAGUCGAGCGGAGCGAGGGUGCUUGCACCUUAGCUUAGCGGCGGACGGGUGAGUAAUGCUUAGGAAUCUGCCUAUUAGUGGGGGACAACAUUCCGAAAGGAAUGCUAAUACCGCAUACGCCCUACGGGGGAAAGCAGGGGAUCUUCGGACCUUGCGCUAAUAGAUGAGCCUAAGUCGGAUUAGCUAGUGGGGGGGGUAAAGGCCUACCAAGGCGACGAUCUGUAGCGGGUCUGAGAGGAUGAUCCGCCACACUGGGACUGAGACACGGCCCAGACUCCUACGGGAGGCAGCAGUGGGGAAUAUUGGACAAUGGGCGGAAGCCUGAUCCAGCCAUGCCGCGUGUGUGAAGAAGGCCUUUUGGUUGUAAAGCACUUUAAGCGAGGAGGAGGCUACUUAGAUUAAUACUCUGGGAUAGUGGACGUUACUCGCAGAAUAAGCACCGGCUAACUCUGUGCCAGCCGCCGCGGUAA